rnacentral:sRNA from 1 species
AAUUUAUAUUGAUCUAAAUCCAAGUGACCACUAUGGUCAUAAUCAACAGCCUGGAAAACAAAAGAGGAAAACCAAAUUUAAUAAUAAAGCGUUUAGUACGUCCGUUUGCGACAACGUUCGAAUAUGUUUUGAUUUCAAGCUGGAAGUGUGUUUACCACGAAAACAUACUGAACAGCACAGGCAUAAAGGCGAAACAACAACGCAAAGUCAUAGCUUCUUUCAGGCAGCCCUCAUCACCGGGGAGAGAGAGAGCAGUUUACCCCAUACACACAAACGAAAACAUGAACAAUAGCUGUUGUUUGCUACUUUCCAUUAAGCUAAUGAAGAAAAAACAUAAUGAUGAUGAUGUUGUUUUUGUUGAUGAUCAUCAUCAUUAAUAUAAGCUCCAACAAUGCAUGUCUGAGAACAUGUGCUAUAUUAUCACCCAUACACAACUAAGAUCACCGAGAAAGAAUACAAUGAAACCGGCAUACAGAAAACAACAACAAAACCCCAACCUCAAGGGAAAUAAUACAAAGAAUACACAUAAUGAACUAUAAGGAAAAGAAGAGGAGCGUGUAAUAGCAUGGCAGCCCAAUGGAACAAAGUCUCAAAAAUGAUCGUCUUCAAUAAACGAGAAGGUAGAGAAAAAAAGGUAUCGAUUUCUGUUAACAAGAAUUUAGAGAAUAACAUAAUCGUCAGUGUAAACGACAAAUUUAACUAAACGAGUUUCGUUAAAGUAAAGUUAAAGAAUUGCGGUACUGAGCUCAACUAAGUUCCGGCAGAGGCAGUCCUGCGUGUAUCCACGCUACUCUUGUCAUCUGUUCACCUGUCUGUGAAUUAAAACCUUGCAAAUGAAUUAGAGAUGAAUACGCACCAUACUGCACCAAUAAAUGAUGUAAUCUUAUCCUACAGA